UGAAUACGAGAUGCUACGGCGUCGAAGCAGUGUAUGUCAGACUUCCAAGAAAAGCUCGCAAUGUCAUAAAUAAAGAAUGCCUGUACCAUAACCGACACAGGUGGGUAGGUAGAGUAUACUAAGGGGCGCGAGAUAACUCUCUCUAAGGAACUCGGCAAAAUAACUCCGUAACUUCGGGAGAAGGAGUGCCUUCUUUAAGAAGGUUGCAAUAACAAGAUCCAAGCAACUGUUUAUCAAAAACACAGGUCUCCGCUAAGUCGUAAGACGAUGUAUGGGGGCUGACGCCUGCCCAGUGCCAGAAGGUUAAAGAAGUUGGUUAGCUUUUGCGAAGCUGAUGACUGAAGCCCUGGUGAACGGCGGCCGUAACGAUAACGGUCCUAAGGUAGCGAAAUUCCUUGUCGGGUAAGUUCCGACCCGCACGAAAGGCGUAAUGAUUUGGAUACUGUCUCGGAGAGGGACUCGGUGAAAUAGACUUGUCUGUGAAGAUGCGGACUACCUGCACCAGGACAGAAAGACCCUAUGAAGCUUUACUGUAACUUGAAAUUGAAAUUGGACUUUAUUUGCGCAGUAUAGGUGGAAGGCGUUGAAAGUAAUCUUGCGGGAUUAGUGGAGCCAUCAGUGAGAUACCACUCCUAUAAUGUUAGAUUUCUAACUUUGGAUCAUGAUCUGGUCAAAGAACAGUUUCAGGCGGGCAGUUUGACUGGGGCGGUCGCCUCCCAAAUGGUAACGGAGGCGUACAAAGGUUUCCUCUGAACGGGUAGAAAUCGUAUCUAGAGUGUAAAGGCAUAAGGAAGCUUGACUGUGAGACCUACAAGUCGAGCAGGGACGAAAGUCGGUCUUAGUGAUCUGACGGUGCUGAGUGGAAAGGCCGUCACUCAACGGAUAAAAGUUACUCUAGGAUAACAGGCUGAUCUCCCCCAAGAGUUCACAUCGACGGGGAGGUUUGGCACCUCGAUGUCGGCUCAUCGCAUCCUGGGGCGGUAGUACGUCCCAAGGGUUGGGCUGUUCGCCCAUGAAAGCGGUACGCGAGCUGGGUUCAGAACGUCGUGAGACAGUUCGGUCCAUAUCCGGUGUAGGCGUUAGAAUAUUGAGAGGAGCCUUCUUUAGUACGAGAGGACCGAGAAGGACAUACCUCUGGUGUACCAGUUAUCGUGCCAACGGUAAACGCUGGGUAGCUAUGUAUGGAGAGGAUAACCGCUGAAAGCAUCUAAGUGGGAAGCCCACCUCAAGAUGAG
rnacentral:rRNA from 1 species